AACGAACGCUGGCGGCAGGCCUAACACAUGCAAGUCGAGCGAGGACUUCGGUCCUAGCGGCGGACGGGUGAGUAACGCGUGGGAACGUGCCCUUUGCUACGGAAUAGCCCUGGGAAACUGGGAGUAAUACCGGAUGGGCCCUUUGGGGGAAAGAGUUAUCGGCGCAGGCUCGGCCCGCGUUGGAUUAGGCAGUUGGGGGGGUAAUGGCCUACCAAGCCGUCGAUCCAUAGCUGGUUUGAGAGGAUGAUCAGCCACACUGGGACUGAGACACGGCCCAGACUCCUACGGGAGACAGCAGUGGGGAAUCUUAGACAAUGGGGGAAACCCUGAUCUAGCCAUGCCGCGUGAGCGAUGAAGGCCUUAGGGUUGUAAAGCUCUUUCAGCUGGGAAGAUAAUGACGGUACCAGCAGAAGAAGCCCCGGCUAACUCCGUG
rnacentral:rRNA from 1 species